rnacentral:rRNA from 1 species
GAUGAACGCUGGCGGCGUGCCUAAUACAUGCAAGUCGAGCGAACAGACGAGGAGCUUGCUCCUCUGACGUUAGCGGCGGACGGGUGAGUAACACGUGGAUAACCUACCUAUAAGACUGGGAUAACUUCGGGAAACCGGAGCUAAUACCGGAUAAUAUAUUGAACCGCAUGGUUCAAUAGUGAAAGACGGUUUUGCUGUCACUUAUAGAUGGAUCCGCGCCGCAUUAGCUAGUUGGUAAGGUAACGGCUUACCAAGGCAACGAUGCGUAGCCGACCUGAGAGGGUGAUCGGCCACACUUGAACUGAGACACGGUCCAGACUCCUACGGGAGGCAGCAGUAGGGAAUCUUCCGCAAUGGGCGAAAGCCUGACGGAGCAACGCCGCGUGAGUGAUGAAGGUCUUCGGAUCGUAAAACUCUGUUAUUAGGGAAGAACAAAUGUGUAAGUAACUAUGCACGUCUUGACGGUACCUAAUCAGAAAGCCACGGCUAACUACGUG